GCAGCGGUGCUAUACUGCAGUCGAGCGGACAGAUGGGAGCUUGCUCCCUGAUGUUAGCGGCGGACGGGUGAGUAACACGUGGGUAACCUGCCUGUAAGACUGGGAUAACUCCGGGAAACCGGGGCUAAUACCGGAUGGUUGUCUGAACCGCAUGGUUCAGACAUAAAAGGUGGCUUCGGCUACCACUUACAGAUGGACCCGCGGCGCAUUAGCUAGUUGGUGAGGUAACGGCUCACCAAGGCGACGAUGCGUAGCCGACCUGAGAGGGUGAUCGGCCACACUGGGACUGAGACACGGCCCAGACUCCUACGGGAGGCAGCAGUAGGGAAUCUUCCGCAAUGGACGAAAGUCUGACGGAGCAACGCCGCGUGAGUGAUGAAGGUUUUCGGAUCGUAAAGCUCUGUUGUUAGGGAAGAACAAGUGCCGUUCAAAUAGGGCGGCACCUUGACGGUACCUAACCAGAAAGCCACGGCUAACUACGUGCCAGCAGCCGCGGUAAUACGUAGGUGGCAAGCGUUGUCCGGAAUUAUUGGGCGUAAAGGGCUCGCAGGCGGUUUCUUAAGUCUGAUGUGAAAGCCCCCGGCUCAACCGGGGAGGGUCAUUGGAAACUGGGGAACUUGAGUGCAGAAGAGGAGAGUGGAAUUCCACGUGUAGCGGUGAAAUGCGUAGAGAUGUGGAGGAACACCAGUGGCGAAGGCGACUCUCUGGUCUGUAACUGACGCUGAGGAGCGAAAGCGUGGGGAGCGAACAGGAUUAGAUACCCUGGUAGUCCACGCCGUAAACGAUGAGUGCUAAGUGUUAGGGGGUUUCCGCCCCUUAGUGCUGCAGCUAACGCAUUAAGCACUCCGCCUGGGGAGUACGGUCGCAAGACUGAAACUCAAAGGAAUUGACGGGGGCCCGCACAAGCGGUGGAACAUGUGGUUUAAUUCGAAGCAACGCGAAGAACCU
rnacentral:rRNA from 1 species